CGUUCGAGCGUCAUUACACCACUCAAGCCUGGCUUGGUGUUGGGCGACGGGUCUCCACCCGCGCCUCCAUUUCUCUUCGGCCGGACGGUUGGAAUCUCGGCGUUGUGAAUCAAUUCGCCGUGGGACCCGACCGGACGCGCCGUGAAAAACUCCCAUCAAAGGUUGACCUCGGAUCGGGUAGGGAUACCCGCUGAACUUAA
rnacentral:misc_RNA from 1 species